AAGGAUCAUUAAAUAAUCAAUAAUCUUGGCUUGUCCAUUAUUAUCUAUUUACUGUGAACUGUAUUAUUAUUUGACAUUUGAGGGAUGUUCCAAUGUUAUAAGGAUAGACAUUGGAAAUGUUAACCGAGUCAUAAUCAGGUUUAGGCCUGGUAUCCUAUUAUUAUUUACCAAAUGAAUUCAGAAUUAAUAUUGUAACAUAGACCUAAAAAAUCUAUAAAACAACUUUUAACAACGGAUCUCUUGGUUCUCGCAUCGAUGAAGAACGUAGCAAAGUGCGAUAACUAGUGUGAAUUGCAUAUUCAGUGAAUCAUCGAGUCUUUGAACGCAACUUGCGCUCAUUGGUAUUCCAAUGAGCACGCCUGUUUCAGUAUCAAAACAAACCCUCUAUCCAACUUUUGUUGUAUAGGAUUAUUGGGGGCCUCUCGAUCUGUAUAGAUCUUGAAAUCCCUGAAAUUUACUAAGGCCUGAACUUGUUUAAAUGCCUGAACUUUUUUUUAAUAUAAAGGAAAGCUCUUGUAAUUGACUUUGAUGGGGCCUCCCAAAUAAAUCUUUUUUAAAUUUGAUCUGAAAUCAGGCGGGAUUACCCGCUGAACUUAA
rnacentral:rRNA from 1 species